rnacentral:lncRNA from 1 species
UAACUUCGAUAUUCUUACAUCGGAACGAUACCGAACUUAAAUAUCAUACUCCACAGUCGUAAAUAUAACCUCCCCAAAAUACGACUUAAAUCCUACGGCCGGAUUCUACAUUAAUUAACCGCCAAAAAUACCAAACUUCGGAAAUUCACAAACCUAUCCAAAUCUCAUCCAAAAAUUCCAUAAAUCACACCAAUAUACUCCUCUUAAUAUUCCACAUUUAAAACCCUAAAAAUCUCCUAACCGGCGGCGGCCGGCAGCCGUUUUCCGGCGACCUGCAAAUGCUACCAAAUUUUAACAGAAUCUUCCUCUCAAUCUCCUCUACAACUUUCAUGACUAACACAUCACCCAAUUCCAAACCUAACUAGGCUAAUCGAACGAAAACAACUUAAACACCAUAAAACUUCCACCUCAAAUUUCUCCUUACCUAGCUCAAGAGGGAGGGAGCUGUUUGGAGGGGUUGUUGCACGGGAGGAGGGCUACAAAACCGUACCAAGCUUGCCCGGAUUGGUGGCCGGAGGAGGAAGUUCCGGCGAAGGGAAGUUCGGGACAGCCCUUGCUUUCGGGCGGCACCGCUCUCUCACGGCGGCGCUAGGGCUCCUCUCACUGGUCUAGAAAUGUUGCUGGGAGGGAGACCGACCGAACGGGACCGGUGCGGCGGCGGUUGGUGGCCGGACGGCGGCGGGAGGGCGUCCGGAAAUUCUUCUGGGUGUAGAGAGAAGAAAAUCGGGUGGGAGGAGAGAGAAUCGGGAGAGAGGGAGAAGAGAAAAAAGAAAUGGGUUGGGCUCGGCCCAGCCGACCCAACACUCCUUUUAACCCAAAAUUCCAAAAUUCAACACCCCGAAAAAUAAUACCCGAAUAAAAAUUACCUUUUACUAGCUAAAAUUUACCAUUUUUACCGUCGUCGUAUUUUCCCCAUACGAAUUAUCCUCCGCACAUAAUCGUCCCCGAAACCCCUCUAGGGACCAAUUAAACUAUAUAUUCAAUGAUCGGGACGGUAAAAUUCUUAUUAUAAACACGCUAGUAAAUAAGGUAAAAAUAUAAGGGUCGGGAUGUGACAGUAAUUCUCGGCGUAGUUCCUUGUUUCAAUACUCAAAGUGUAAUCUAAACUCAGACCUCAUGUUUUCUUUUAUUAUCUAUUCAAUUACUUUAGUUUGUUUCCAUCUCUCUUAUUCGUUUGUGUUCAUGAGUUGGAUUUUUGAUUGAGUUUGUUCUUAUAAUCAUGAAAAUCAGAUCUGUACACUUGAGUUGUUGGUGUAAUUGAUGAUGCUUUUGAUGAUCUAAAUUAUGUUUAUAUGUGUGAUUGACAACUUAUGACUUGUUCUUAAUCAAUAUGUGCCAUUGUUUGUGUUAAGUCCGCGUCGGUAAACAUGAACUAGAAUGGUAAGGAGUUAUAGGUUGCAUGCUAGGAUGUCUUUGAAGUCCGCGUCGGUAAAUUACAUUCUAACAUGUUCA